CAUCCAGAGCAGUGUGGGCAGCAGGGCCAGGGAGGGGAUUCUGCCCCUCUGCUCUGCUCUGCUGAGACCCCACCUGCAGUGCUGCACCAGCUCAGAGCUCCCAGCACAGGAAGGACAUGGAGAUGUUGGAGUAGUCCAGAGGGGGGCCAUGAAGAUGAUCAGGAAACUGUAGCACCUCACCUAUGACGACAGGCUGAGAGAACUGGGUUACUCAGCCUGGGGAAGAGACAGCUCCAGGGGGACAUUAUCGUGGCUUUUUUUGGCACUUUGAGGGAGCUGAUAAGAAAGAUGAGGACAGAAUUUUUAAGUAGGCCCUGUUGUGAUAGGACAAGGGGUAAUGGUUAAAAUGUAAAGGGUAGAUGUAGACUAGACAUAUGGAAGUUUUUUACAAUGGGGUUGGUGAAAUGUUGGAACAGGCUGCCCAGAACUGGUAAUUGCUCCAUGCUUGUAAGCAUUCAGUGUCAGGCUGGAUGAGGCUUUGAGCAACCUGAUCUAGUUGAAGGAGUGCUCUGCUUAUUGCAAGGUAUUUGACAAGAUGAUCUUAAAAGGUCCCUUCCAACCCAAUUUGUUCUAUAUAUCUGUAUGUCAUGGCAAUUUGAUGCAUUACAAUGUUUGCUAUUCAUGUUUUCUUUCAAGUGAGUUUGCCAAGGUAGAUGUGGAGACAAAUGUGAGAUAUUCUCUACACAAAUCAAAAUGGAAUGAAAAUAUGAUAACAUAAAUGCCAUUUAAGAUCUUGAUGUCUAAGAAGACUAAUAAAAUGAAAUUUGGAAGACUUUGGAAGACAUUUGGAAUGACUGAUGAGUUGUUUUAAGCUCCACUGGAUUUCCUGCCUCUGCAUUGAAAUUUAAUAUUUGUUCAGGUGGCAAACUUGCCAGACAUAUCUGUUCAUUGUGAAUGUCAUAGGCUGUGGAUCCACAGAGGUCUCUCCAAGAAGGCCAUGACUAGAGAGACAGUGAACUCCCCAGAUGACUCUGAACUUGUCUGAGGCUUCUUCAGCUAGAUGUGCAUAAAUUUAUGGGCCCCAAAAUUUAUGGGCCCCAAAGAGAUUCAUCCCAGAGUACUGAAAGAAGUGGCUGAUGUUGUUGCAGGAUCUCUCUCCCAUACUACUCAACUACCUUGGCAGUCUGGAAAGGUCCCAAUCUACUUCAAGUGGCAAAUAGUGUCUCAGUUCUCAAGCAAGUUGUCAGCAUUUGCCAUUGACAUCCUAGGUCUACAGCUGCUGCAGAUGUGCCUAUGUUUGUAUUCUUUCCAAGGAUAACAUGCAGGUGGAUAGCCUGCUAUAUUCAGUGGUGAGUGAAUGUAGCAACUGAAGUAAAGCAAUCCUUAUGUAUGCUUCCAGUAAAGUAUGCUGAGGCUGGAUGUAGAGGAAAGGUGCUAUAAGAUAGUUGCAAGCCAUCCCUAACCUGGCUGCACCCCAUCAACCUGUACCUCUUUUCCUUCUGGCAAGUUUAACUUUCCAAAGGCCUGAUCAUCCCAUAAAUCAGUAGGUUCUCUCUGUAAUUUUGGAGUUGUGGACUUUUGUCCCUGCUUCCUUGCACAGAUGAUUUUUUAUGUGAUCAGCCACAAAAAGCAAAAACAAUGAAAAGUUUUGAAGUUUAGAAAUGAACGCAUACCUAUGUAAAGCCAUUAAAUUCUUGCUGAAAGACAUGGGAUGGUAAUGGGGUUUUACUGGCUUCUUUCUCUCCUUUAGGGUUUUUGAGAAGUAACUCACUUUUCCACAGAAAUGAGAGGGGAACACAUCUUUAAAGCAAAAAUAUUGAUAUGAACGAGUCAGUUGAGUCAGGCACGUUCCCCUCCUCCUGCAGGUGAAAACACAAAACACUUUACUUCAAUGGCAACCUUUCUCCUUUUUUGGUUAUGUGUUCAACAUUGCUUCUUUAUUGGUUCCCAACAGCACUUAACAGGUGCAAUGAACAGAUCAAAUAAACCGUACCUAAACCAUAGGUAACAAGUAGAAAACAGAAUUAACACUUUUCCUUCAUUUACCCCACAGUUCUUUUGGACUGAAGCAAAAUCCUCUUUCAUCUCUCACAGGGAGGUAUUCUGCUCUGUUACAGCAGUCUGAUUUGCUUAAUAUUAGUCUAACACUGCUGUUAAAAAGAAAGUAUACUGUCCAUCUACAGCAGACAGGUUAUAAAUUAAAUUGCAGUGGAGCAAGAGGAAACUUGCUCAGUCUCUACCUCCAGUCUGGUACUCAUAACCCCACAUCUUCAGUGCUUCACUGUGCUUAACCAGUGUAACAGGUGGGCAGAAAAGCCUUAGGGAGUCAACAUCAGCUGCUUUUAAGAGCAGGUGAAGUUCAUAUAAUGUAUACGUGGCAGCUGAGAAGCUAAGGUGAGGCGUGGUUUGUCGGGGUCCAUGCACUGUGCAACACGAAACACGCGUGGAAGGGCCGGGUAGCAGGCUGAUCAACCAGCCCCUUGCGGUGAUGACCGCGGCAGGGCGGCCCGGGCAGCGGAGCGGAGCAGAGCGCUGCAGCAGCGCGCGGGAGCGCGGGGCUGUCCCGCCCCGCCGUGGGCGCGCACCGUGCGCUGCGCCCGGAGAGGGCAGCGCUCCGCUCCUGAGGGCGCCGGGGGCUUCCCCCGCUCGUGGCCGGGGCGCCGUCGGGAUCCCCGCAGGGCUCCCGCCGUUCGUUGCCUGUCCCGUGGAGCUGCGGCGGCUGCCCCGGGCUCUGCUCCCCGGGAGCCUCCCAGCGCCGCGGGCUGUCACA